UUUAAUUUUGAACGAGUGGCGGACGGGUGAGUAACACGUGGGUAACCUGCCCUUAAGUGGGGGAUAACAUUUGGAAACAGAUGCUAAUACCGCAUAAAUCCAAGAACCGCAUGGUUCUUGGCUGAAAGAUGGCGUAAGCUAUCGCUUUUGGAUGGACCCGCGGCGUAUUAGCUAGUUGGUGAGGUAACGGCUCACCAAGGCAAUGAUACGUAGCCGAACUGAGAGGUUGAUCGGCCACAUUGGGACUGAGACACGGCCCAAACUCCUACGGGAGGCAGCAGUAGGGAAUCUUCCACAAUGGACGCAAGUCUGANGGAGCAACGCCGCGUGAGUGAAGAAGGCUUUCGGGUCGUAAAACUCUGUUGUUGGAGAAGAAUGGUCGGCAGAGUAACUGUUGUCGGCGUGACGGUAUCCAACCA
rnacentral:rRNA from 2 species